rnacentral:rRNA from 1 species
AUUGAACGCUGUCGGAAUGCUUUACACAUGCAAGUCGAACGGCAGCACGGACUUCGGUCUGGUGGCGAGUGGCGAACGGGUGAGUAAUGUAUCGGAACGUGCCCAGUCGUGGGGGAUAACGUAGUGAAAAUUACGCUAAUACCGCAUACGAUCUAUGGAUGAAAGCGGGGGAUCGCAAGACCUCGCGCGAGUGGAGCGGCCGAUAUCAGAUUAGGUAGUUGGUGGGGUAAAGGCCCACCAAGCCAACGAUCUGUAGCUGGUCUGAGAGGACGACCAGCCACACUGGAACUGAGACACGGUCCAGACUCCUACGGGAGGCAGCAGUGGGGAAUUUUGGACAAUGGGCGAAAGCCUGAUCCAGCCAUUCCGCGUGCAGGAUGAAGGCCCUCGGGUUGUAAACUGCUUUUGUACAGAACGAAAAGGUUUCUACUAAUACUAGGAGCUCAUGACGGUACUGUAAGAAUAAGCACCGGCUAACUACGUGCCAGCCGCCGCGGUAA